UACGAAGGGAGCUAGCGUUGCUCGGAAUCACUGGGCGUAAAGGGUGCGUAGGCGGGUCUUUAAGUCAGGGGUGAAAUCCUGGAGCUCAACUCCAGAACUGCCUUUGAUACUGGGGAUCUCGAGUCCGGAAGAGGUGAGUGGAACUCCGAGUGUAGAGGUGAAAUUCGUAGAUAUUCGGAAGAACACCAGUGGCGAAGGCGGCUCACUGGUCCGGUACUGACGCUGAGGUGCGAAAGCGUGGGGAGCAAACAGG
rnacentral:rRNA from 1 species